AUAGCCACUGCCUGUUUGGCAAGUCAGCUUCAGAGCAACAAAGCCGACCACCCAUGGUGAAUUUCAGGGGCCCUCAUGGCAAGUAGGGCCUUGCUGAGGCCCCUAUGGGGCCCAUGCUAAUCUUCUCUCUAUCAUUCCAUUUUUAGUAUCUGUGCUGUCAUAGCAAGUAAAAUGCUUCUAUUUUUUACAUGUAAGUACAUUUAUAAGCAGCUUCUCACAAUCUACACAGUUCAUAACCUUUUAAUGCGUCUUUCUACUGAGUCCAAAGCUGUUUUGCCCAUGGCCUCUGCAACACCUGAGCACUGGGUCUAACUUUGUCUGCAUACCAGUUGCACAUAAUGUACAAGGCAGGGAGUGAUCAAGCAAAUACGCAUUAAUUUCAUCAUGUCCCACUUCCAGAGCCCUGACACAUAAUCACCACCUGACUCUGUGUUUCUGCUGGAUACACUGUCAUUCUCCAGUGACGACAAAGCAAAUCAAAUCAGCAAAUCAAUGUGGAGGGUGAAAGACCCAGUACGGUCUCUGGUAAAAUGGCAUGUGAUGCAGGACUGGAAUGGGAACAAACGGCAAUAUAAACCAAUCACGCCAUGCAGCCUGGCCCUGCAGCUCAAGUGAAUGCUUCUGAAAGAUUACUGGGUUUCCUCAAUCACUGCCUUUCGAUGUGGAUUAGAAGACAUCUAUCGACCAAUUAUCAACAAGCUCAGAACUUUUCCGUUACUAUCUUUGUUGGAAAUUAUGCUUGUUGCCAUUUAUGCAUUGCCUGUAAGCUUCCAGAGCGAAACUUAGGCCGCUCAGGAAAGAGUGCAGGUUGAAGUGCAUGAACAUAUUUCUUGCAUGCUAACCACAGAGUUUCAGUAGAAACUCUUGCGAAAUAGACGUUGCGAAAUCAUAUGUGCCUAUACGUCCAGUUGUUUUGUACCGCAUAGCAACAGCAGGUACUAAUAGAUACGCUCAUGUGUUAUCAACUAUAUAUGGUAUUGAAGGAAAUCAAGCUGUAUCAUGUGAUCCUUCUACUGUUCUGUAAUUAAAAGUGCUUAAUAAAAGGAACUGUGAGAGAAGCCCCCCUCCGAAGUCGGCUGAGUCGAGUCAAGAGACAAGUCUCUGUGACCGGACCGGGCCUCCCUGCAGUGAGAUGAAGAGAUCAACGGUGUGGCGUCUUGCUUUGUAUCCAGAGACUGGUCACCCAGCAGGGGUUCAACACCUAGGCUGAACCCAACAUCUUGGUCCUUCGAGCCGGAUCCCACAGGCCGCCGCCCGAGGAGGAGGGAUUCAGCACACAGAAGUCUGUCGACAGCCAGGACGCCUAGGAGCGCCUGAGAAAGUCCUGCGACGUGAAUUCGUGGCCAGGCCGGAGCAGUACCGUCGUUUCUCCCCUCCGAGGACGCCGGCUGACGGGAUACUGAGAACCCUCUCUGGCUCCACUGCAAGGACGGAUCUGGUAUCCAGCCAGCGGCAUGUUAGCCUUGCCACACAGCCUCGGAACCGCCUCUCCACAUUCCUUCCCAAAGGAAAGCGACCACCAAGCAAGCUGCCCCAAGCAUCGCUAUCCUCCCCAACGCUGGCUUCCAUAGGCCGGAGGGAAAUCGUGGCUGACCAAGCAGUGAAGACCAAGGAGAAUCCACCGUACAAGGACACGAAGACCGUGGCCCCGAACAGGAGCCGGUGACCCGCAAAGCAGCCACUCCAGACAGAGGCCACAUCAGGACAAUGAGAAGGAGCGGAUAGAGAUGUUCUAUGAGUUGCCCAGUCAGCUAGACUGUUCAGGUAGGACAGUGGCCAGUCUACAUGUGGACGGUGUCAUCAAGGUGUGGUCAUUCAAUCCCAUAAUGCAGACGAAGGUCACCACCAUGUCUAAAUCCCCCCUUCUGUCACUGGAGUGGGGCCACAAAACCGACCAGACUGUUGCCUUAAUUGGGCACUAAUCUGAUGAAGCAAGAUCUGGGAAGCUGACCAGCCCUAAGGAAGUUGUAGAGGAAUUUCUCCAAGAGAGCCACAGUGACCCUCAGAGACCAGGCCGUGAAUGAGCACCUAUGCUGGGCAGUGUGGAGGAACCAGAAGAAGUGUUAGACAUCCGUGAACCGACAUGCAGGAACGGAUUAUGGGUUGUGUGGGCCCCUGGGCAAAACGUUCGCGAGGGCCCCCCCGCCACCACCAGCACCACCACCACAAAUUCAAGGGCCCUUGGCAGCCAAACGCCCUCCCUAUAGGGUCAGGGGCCCUUGUAGGCAGAGGAUCAAAGAAUGUAGGCCCUCUAAAAUAGGCAAACGAAAAUACAUUGUUGAUAAGCGUUGCAAAUUGUUUUGGGCUAGGGGCCCUAUGGGCCCCCUGCACCCCAAGGGCCCCUGGGCAGCGGCCCCGCUGGCCCCGUCCGUAAUCCGUCCCUGCCGACAUGGAUAGAGGUCUGAGACAUAGUACAGAAGGAGCACUCAUAAUCUGCCCCAGGACCAAAUGAUAUACUGUACAAAGUAUACAAGAGAUGUCCAAUGCUGCUUCGCUGGGUAUGGAAACUUCUGCGGAGACUAUGGAUAAAGGGCAGCAUCCCAUCUUCCAGGAACAAGAGAAGAAGAAGACUGCUUUGUGCCAAAGGAAGCAAACUCUACUGAGACCAUUCAGUACCAAACAAUCUUCUUAUUGAAUCUUGAAGGCAAGAUCGUCUAUUCCGUCCUGGCCAGGAGGCUGACAAGCUACAUGGUGAACAACAGGUAUAUCAAUACAUCAGUCUAGAAGUGUGCCAUGAAUGCAUUCGCUGGAUACUUGGAACAUACAGGAGUUCGUAGCCAGCUGAUCCGGGGGGCCAAAAAGAUCAAAGGCAACCUGACAGUUGACUGGUUGGAUUUGGCCAAUACAUGAACAAUUUUGUAACCCCAAUUAACCUCAUUGUGUUUUUGGACAAUGGGGGGAAAGCCAGAGUACCUGGAGGGUACCCCAUAAUGACAUGGGGAGAACAUGCAAGCUCUGUACACAUGGAGCCAUAGCAGAGUGUCAAACUCUGGUCCCAGAGGUGUGAGGCAGCAGUGCUAAACACUGCACCAGCAUAGCACUCUGUGUUCGCAUUCCCUGUCUAAUUAAAGUUCGGCACAGCAUCUGCACUUGCCUCUGAGGGCGAUAUUAUGUGUCUCGUUACGUUGCCCUGUCACUACGGGGUGACCAUGUAUAUGUCCCUGACGACAGCCACUACAGCAUUUUUUUAGAUAACACUGAUUUGGAGUGAUAAUAAUAUGGCAGUAAGAACUGAAAAUACGCCAAACUUCACUGUAAAAAAAGUGCCACCAUUCUUCCAAUGCGAAGUAACUAGUUUGAGAACGUAGGGGAGACUGGGGACGGUUGCAAGACUUUUUGCAUUCCUCUCAUUUACUCAGAGACUGUUUGGACUACACCAGCCAAAUUUGUACACUAUAAACUUACAUCUGUCUGCUAAUUACCCACAGUACUUGUAGUUAAUUAUAUUUUACAUAUCCUGCACAAUAUUGAUUUGAACUGAAGAAGUCAGAUGUUGGGGACGGUUGCAACAUGUUAAACAUAUUGUGACACCCGGCCCGUCCGCUCCUCGUGUGUGCCACACCCCCUAAUUAUCCACGUGUGAUUCCCUGAUCGUGCCCAGUCGUGUCUUGUUCUCUUCUGAUUAGUUCCGUGUAUUUAAGUCUCUGUUGUGCAUUUACCCCUUGUCUGUCAUUGAGCAAUGUUACUUCUGUCGGUGAUUUCUGUGACCGUGCUUUAUUUCCUGCCCCGAUCACCAAAUUAAAACCCGUUCGUCCCGUGUCCUGCCUGAGGCUUGCUUUUAUUGCCCGCGCCGGUUUUACCUGCCCCGCUUCCAGCGGCAGCCACCCCGGAGGUGUUCACAGCGCCUCUCCCAGGGAAGACGGCUACCCUGGUAGAUUUUCACCCUCCAGGGUCUCUUUCUGACGGUGUUGGGGAGUCCGACACCCCCUGGAGACCAGAAGAGGGAGGAAUCGUAGCACGUCUCACGAGAGGCUUUGACGCGUUUACGGCCGCCUCUGGACCAGAGGAACUUGAAAGUUUAGCAGAGGACCUCAGGCAGCUGAUCCAGCUCCAGAAAGCGUCAGUCCCCGAGCUGGAACAGCCGCCCUUGCAAGCGGAC